rnacentral:rRNA from 1 species
UACGAAGGGGGGCUAGCGUUGCUCGGAAUCACUGGGCGUAAAGCGCAUGUAGGCGGCUUUUUAAAGUCAGAGGUGAAAUCCUGGAGCUCAACUCCAGAACUGCCUUUGAUACUGGAGAGCUUGAGUCCGGGAGAGGUGAGUGGAACUGCGAGUGUAGAGGUGAAAUUCGUAGAUAUUCGCAAGAACACCAGUGGCGAAAGGCGGCUCACUGGCCCGGUACUGACGCUGAGGUGCGAAAGCGUGGGGAGCAACAGG